UGUGUGAAAUGCAACAAUAAUGGGCAGUUUUUUUUAACGUGAGGGACCUGGCAAAUGCAGCAGUGAGGAUUUACUGUUCAUCCCAAUCUCGGCUUCAUCUAGAAUCAGCCUUAAACUGUGUUCCCUCAGUGUUCUCAGUAACGGGUACGACCACUCAGGGUCAGGAAUGCAAGGUGAUUCCUGGGGUUACACGUUUCAUGAUGAAGGUGGACUUCCAUACACAUCUCUUCAGUUGCUGAUCUGCUGAGCAUUUCUGGGUCCUUUCUGUGUACAAAUGAGGCCACACAUGCUGGAAAUCUGGAACAAUAUACAGAACUCUGUAGAAGCUCAGCAGGUCAGGUAGCAUCUGUGGAGGGAAAUGGACCUUUGACGUUUUGGGUGGAGACCCUUCACGAGGACUGGAAAGAAAGAGGGGAGAAUCCGUUAUAUUGGGAGGGGUGGUUGUCGACCCGAAGUUGGAAUCUGGAAAACGUCUGGAAAACAUUCUCCAGGACGUUGCCUAGAUUGAAGCAUUUCACUUAGAAGCAGAGAUUGGAUAAGUUGAGUUUGUUUUGCCUGGAGUCAAGGACGCUAAUUGGGGACCAGACUGUCUAUGAAUGAGGGACAUGAAUAGGGUAGGUUAUAAAAAGACAGCAGGAUACUGCAGAUGCUGGAAAUCUAGAGCAAUACACACAAUGUGUUCGCUGAGAUUCUUUCUGAAUCCCAAUGAAGGGCCUCAGCCCAAACUGUCAACUGUUUAUUCCCAUCCUUUGAUGCUGCCUUGACCCGCUGAGCUCCUCCAGUAGGUUAUAAGAGAUGUUUCCCCAUGGUAGAGCUGUCUAAAACAAGACAGUAUAUGUACAACGUGAAUGACGGACGUUUAGAGGAAAUUUGAACGAGUAGUUGGAACCUGGAACAAGAUGCUUGAGAAGUUGAAGGAGACAGCAACAUCUAUACAAAUACCUGAAUUUCCAUUGUAUAGAAGGCUAUGGAGCAUGAUUGUCAAUGGGUUUAGUGCAAUAGUCAGUAUAGAUGAGAUGAACUGAAUGGCCUGUUUCUGUACUGUAUGGUCCUAUAGACAUCAGGAGCAUUUGAAUCUCCCAGAUCUACCACAUCUCACAGGAGGAGAACACCACUCUACUGAUUGACUGCUUUUGCCCUUUUAACAACUAGAGUCAUAGAGUUAUAGGAAAGUGCAGCAAAAGAACAGGCCCUUUGGCCAGUUUAGUCCACGGCAAACCAUUUAAGCUGCUUACUUCCAUUGACCUGCAUUGCACCUAUGGCCCUCCAUAUCCUACCAUCCACGGAUCUAUCCAAACUUCUCUUAGAUGUUGAAAUCAGCUUCAUGCAUUCCACACUCUCACAACCCUCUGUGUGAAAAAGUUUCCUCUUAUGUCUCCCUUAAACUUGUCAUCUUUCACCCUUAACCAAUGACCUCAGUGGGAAAAGCCUGCUUAUGUUUUUUUUAUACUUCUAUCAUAAUUUUGUACAUCUCUAUCAAAUCUCCUCUCAAUCUCUACCUUCCAAGGAAUAAAGUCAUAACCUAUUUAAUCUUUCCUUAUAACCUCCGGACCUGGCAACAUCCUUGUAAAUUUUUCCUGUACUCUUUCAACCUUAUUUACAUCUUUCAGGUAGAUAAGUGACCAAAACUGUACAUAAUACUCAAAAAUAGUCUUCACCAAUGUCUUGUACAACUUCAAUACAACAUCCCACCUCCUGCACUCUAUAUUUUGUUUCAUGAAGGCCAAUAUACCUGAAGAUUUCUUUACAACCUUGUCCACCUGUGACACCAUUUUCAAUGAAUUAUAGACCUGUGUUCCCAGAUCCCUUUGUUCUACCGCACUCCUCAGUGCCCGAUCGUUCACUGUGUAAGACCUACCCUGGUCGAUCCUACCAAAGUGCAACCCCUCACACUUGUCUGCAUUAAAUUCCACCUGCCGCUUUUCAGCUCAUUUUUUCUGCUAGUCCAGAUUCUACUGCAAACCAUGAUAGCCUUCCUCGCUGUCCAUUAUACUCCCAGACUCGGAGUCAUCUGCAAAUUUGCUGAUCCAAUUAACCACAUUAUCAUCCAGAUUAUUGAUAUAGAUGACAACAACAAUGGACACCAAUCCCUGAGGCACUCCACUAGUCACAGGCCUCCAGUUAGAGAGGCAACUAUCUACAACCACCCUCUGGCUUCUCUAACAGAGCUAAGGAAAUUGAUGGAAGUAUUUUACCGUUCCCUCUCGCCACACUUCGACUGCGCAGCAGCACAUCUCCCUCAAGGCUGGUCAUUCUUCUAGACCCAUUCUCCCUUUUGAUUCACUUCUCAUGGUAAACAAUCAAACUGCGACCAGUGAAGCUUGAAGAUUUUUUUUUGUGUGGAGGAACAAAAAUACGUGUGUUGAGGCGUGCAUGCUUUGUGUGUGUGUGUGUGUG